GUCUGUUCUAGGAACAUUUCAUGGUGCCAGGGGCCAGGGUGCUGGCAGCUUGGGCAGGCCCGGGCGGGCCUGCGUUGCGUGCAUUUGGGGCAUGGAUCGGUUUGGGGUAGCAUCCCCGAAAUGGGUCUGUGUCUCUGGACAGUAGAACGCCUCUCAACCUAAGGCCCUGGCAGCGUCCGGGGUGUGGAGGAAUGUGUUACUGCCUUGCUUAUAACUCCUGCCGUGGGGAUGGCGUGUGGUGGGGAAGCCACCCUGGAGCAGCUUCAUGCUCCCGUCCGAAAGAGCUCCUUCAGCAGCUCGCGGCUGAGCCACACGACGCCUCUGCUGGGAGGCAGGAAGUUGCAUAUUCCUGCCCGUGUACCCGGCAGAACGUUCUUUCCACGUCCUACCAUUGACAAAUCCUCUUGGACUUCCUGGUCACUUCAUGAUGACAGCGUGCAGAGGGAGAGCAGGUAAUCAAAGGACGGCCAUGAUGAGGGCGAGGGGUUUUUCCUCCCAAAUUUGUAUGAUGAAAAUAUCCAAACAUACAGAAGAGUUGAAGGAAGAACAAGGAACACUCUCAGAGCCCAUCCUAGAGCUGACGCGUAACCAUGUCACACGCUUGCUUUAUCUGUCUGUGUAGAUACAUCUCUAGAGCUAUGUAUUUUUUGCCGUAAGUUUGAAAGUAAGUUCCAGGCAUCAUCCCUAAAUACUUUCGUGUGCUUUUCUAAGAAUGAGGAUAUUCUCUAACCACAACACCAUUAUCAUCUGAAGAAAAUUAACAGUGAUUUGAGACGGAGGGAUUUUGGGAAUUAGUCAAGGCGUAAGCGUUGAGACCUUCGUUAGAUGAGGAGGUACUGUGUUGUAUUACUGUUCGCAAAGCUUCCUUUGAGCUUGGUCCCCCUGCGGGGCAGCUGGAGAAAGAUGGAAUGACACUCCCAUUCCAAAGUUUGAGAUCUCCAGGGGAGCAGAGCACCACGCUAGUAGGGUAGGUGCUUGGGAUGUGCACAGGGAACACGUCCCAGGCCAGAGGCCACCCCUGGGUCCCCCUUCAUGCUCCUGGGCAUAGAGGCUCCUGUUUUCCCAGUUCUGCCCCGUCCAGAGGAGAGGGGGGUGGAGCUUGGCAGGCAGAUUGGAUCUGGGCUGAAUCUCUGUGAGACCUGGGCUGAUUGGGCUUCCCCGCGACCAAGUCCUCAGCUCCCCUUGGGGUCACGGAAGCUAAGCUUGGGUGGGGAGAUGUGGGGCCUUCCCAGGUGCUGAGCAACCCUUUUCUUUACCCUGUGGAGGGGACCUGGAGACAGGGACAGUGGAGGGGUUCAAGUGCCAAAAUCUCCCCAUCUCGACCCAGGGCUGAGAUGGGUCCCUGGAUCUUCCAGCUAUGAUGUCCCCAAGAAUCUGCAAAAUCUCCCACGACUCCUUCUGAUGGGGGGUGUGCGUUGGGGCGUGCCCAGGUGAGAGCUGCAGAUGGAGGCUGUGGGGUGACUGCAUUUAUCUGUGGGUGUGACCGAGCAUCUCACAGGUCCAGGAGGGUGGUCCUCAUAUGUGCACAGAGACUGGAGGGGCGAGGGUGCAUUUUGGUGCAUGUAUGGAUGUCCCAAGAGCAGAUCUGGGGUGUUCUCAUGUCAGAAUGUGGGUCUGUGCUCUGUGUAAUGUUAGAAAUAGGGCUUUGGGAACAGAAUAUUAUUCAGCCUUAAAAAGGGGCAAAAUUACAACACAUGCUACAACACGGUGAACCUGGAGGAUGUUAUACUAAGUGAAAUAAGCCAGUUACAAAAAGACAAUGCAGAAUGAAUCCAGUUAUAUGAGGCAUCUAGAGAAGUCAAGUUUAUAGAGGCAGAAAAUGGAAUGGAGAUUGCCAAGGGCUGGGGGACGGAGGAGUGGGGCGUUCUUACGUAGUGGGGACAGAGUUUCGGUUUUGCAAGAUGAAAUGAGUUCUAGAAAUGAAUGGGGUGAUGAUUGUACAACAACGUGAAGGUACUUAAUGCUACCAAACUGUACUUUUAGAUAUGGUUAAGUGGGUGAAUGUUGCAUGAUCUGUAUUUUGCCACAGUGAGAAAAAAAAAGUGGGGUUCUGGUGGCCGUGACUGGCUGCCUUGUAAGGUUUCCUGUUUCUGAAUGAUGGUGACACCCACCCCGUCCCCAUGUGACCUGCUUGCUCACUACUGUUUACCAGGAAAGCCAGAAUAUUGUCACUAGGAGAGAAUGUUGUCAAUCAGAGGAAAUCUAACAGAGCCAGGGAGAUGCUUUGGGGAUCAUACAAGUCUCAAACCCAAGACCCGUUUCUGGAAAUGCUACCGUGUUCCAAGCAGAUCUCACCAGCUAGGAAUGGAAACAGAGGCAUUCUGUCAAAGGAAAGAACUUGAUGAGAAAUUAUUUUAUGAAAGCCAAAUUUUGGCAUGUUUUCACAUUUUAGUUUGUCAGAACACAGAGUAAUAAAUGUUAAACAUGUUGUUUAUUAUUAUGCUCGGUUGAUUUCUUUAUGAUGACAAUUUUAUUUUUCAAGUUUGUCCUCGAGUGACUGCAGGAUUCCAGAACAGAACGGGAGAGAUGUUUUACAGUUUAUCCCAGCAGGACCACUGGGAGAACAGUUUUUAUUUAAAAAAAAAAAAAAA
rnacentral:lncRNA from 1 species